rnacentral:rRNA from 1 species
UACGAACCGUCCAAACGUUGUUCGGAAUUACUGGGCGUAAAGCGCGUGUAGGCGGCCCUGUAAGUCGGGUGUGAAAUCCCACGGCUCAACCGUGGAAGUGCAUUCGAAACUACAGGGCUAGAGUUCUGGAGAGGAAGGUGGAAUGCUUGGUGUAGAGGUGAAAUUCGUAGAUAUCAAGAGGAACACCUGAGGCGAAGGCGGGUUGCUAGGCUGACACUGACGCUGAGUGCGCGAAAGCCAGGGGAGCAAACGGG